rnacentral:piRNA from 1 species
UGCAGCCACCACCAAACAGCCAUGGAGCCC